CCUACGGGAGGCAGCAGUAGGGAAUAUUGCGCAAUGGGCGAAAGCCUGACGCAGCGACGCCGCGUGAGGGAUGAAGGUCUUCGGAUCGUAAACCUCUGUCAGCAGGGAAGAACGGUCACUGUGCUAAUCAGCAGUGAAUUGACGGUACCUGCAAAGGAAGCACCGGCUAACUCCGUGCCAGCAGCCGCGGUAAUACGGAGGGUGCGAGCGUUAAUCGGAAUUACUGGGCGUAAAGCGCUCGUAGGCGGUAUGUCAAGUCAAGUGUGAAAGCCCCGCGCUCAACGUGGGAACUGCCUUUGAAACUGGCAAACUGGAGUGUGUGAGAGGAUAGUGGAAUUCCAGGUGUAGGAGUGAAAUCCGUAGAUAUCUGGAGGAACAUCAGUGGCGAAGGCGACUAUCUGGCACAUAACUGACGCUGAGGAGCGAAAGCGUGGGUAGCAAACAGGAUUAGAUACCCCUGUAGUC
rnacentral:rRNA from 1 species